CAUGUCUAAGCUCAUACCUAGUUAAAGUGAGACUGCGAAAGGCUCAGUACAUCAGUUAUAGUUUAUUCGAUUGUGACAUUCCACAUGGAUAACCGUGGAAAAUCUAGAGCUAAUACAUGCGAAAAACGUUGAAUUCUUCGGGAUUCAAUAAUGCAUUUAUUAGAUAACCAAUUGUUAAGGUGUACUUGUUAUAUCUUAACAUUAAGGUGAGUCUGGAUAACUGUGCCGAUCGUAUGGCCUUGAGCCGGCGACAUUUCGAUUAAAUUUCUGCCCUAUCAACUUGUUGGUAAGGUAGUGGCUUACCAAGGUGAUAACGGGUAACGGGGAAUCAGGGUUCGAUUCCGGAGAGGGAGCCUGAGAAACGGCUACCACAUCCAAGGAAGGCAGCAGGCGCGCAAAUUACCCAAUCCAGACAAUGGGAGGUGGUGACGAGAAAUACCAGGUCGGUCCUAAUAGGAUUCGACACUGGAAUGAGAUUAACUUUAAAAAUUAAUUGAGUAACAACUGGAGGGCAAGUCUGGUGCCAGCAGCCGCGGUAAUUCCAGCUCCAGUAGCAUACCCUAAAGUUGCUGCGUUUAAAACGCUCGUAGUUGGACAAUAGAACCAAUUAGUGCGGAUGGGAAAGUGUCGAUAACACCUAGUGGGGUUAUUUCUAACGAACUAACUCCUUAACUACUUGUUAUUAACUUUGUCAAUCAUGCUGCUAAUUGGUUCAUAAUGUCUCGUGAGAAUAGUAUAUGACCUUUGCUGUGUUGUGUAUUAUAUCUUGCGUAGUGUGCCUUGAAUAAAUCAGAGUGCUCAAAGCAAGCUAAAUAUUGCUUGAAUGUUAAUAGCAUGGAACGAAUGUUUUGUGUAUGUAAAGUAUAUCAGUAUGCUUUUGUGUAUUGGUUACUUUAUAGCACCAACUUGAUUACGGAACAUUGGUUGCCGUUAAUCGGGUGAUGAUUAAGAGGGGCAUUUGGGGGCAUUAGUAUUUGGCCGCGAGAGGUGAAAUUCUUGGACCGGCCAAGGACUAACAAGUGCGAAAGCAUUUGCCAAGUAUGUUCCCAUUAAUCAAGAACGAAAGUGAGAGGUUCGAAGACGAUCAGAUACCGUCCUAGUUCUCACUGUAAACGAUGCCAACCCGGGAUCAGUUCGGAUGUAAUUUGUAUGGAUCCAGGUUGGUCCCCCUGGGAAACCUUGAGUGUUUAGGUUACGGGGGGAGUAUGGUUGCAAGGCUGAAACUUAAAGGAAUUGACGGAAGGGCACCACCAGGAGUGGAGCCUGCGGCUUAAUUUGACUCAACACGGGAAAACUCACCUGGUCCGGACAUCGAUAGGAUUGACAGACUAAUAGAUCUUUCAUGAUACGGUGGGUGGUGGUGCAUGGCCGUUCUUAGUUCGUGGAGUGAUUUGUCUGGUUUAUUCCGUUAACGAACGAGACCUUAGUCUCCAUUUCGGUAUGCGAAUAAUAGUCAUCGUACGUUCGCCUUAGUAUGUCAAAGUACUAAUGUGUUUCGUCUAUAGCUAAUAUUCGUAUUACGUGCAGUGAUGCGCGACCGAUGGAGAGACAGCCGGAUUUUAAGCCGGAGGAAGCGAGGCAAUAACAGGUCUGUGAUGCCCUUCGAUGUUCAGGGCCGCACGCGCGCUACAAUGAUGACAAUAACGAGUUACCUGGACUGAAAAGUUCUGGGAAAUCUUGUAAAUUGUCAUCGUGAUGGGGAUUGAGCAUUGUAAUUAUUGCUCAUGAAAUAGGAAUUCCUAGUAUGCGUAUGUCAUUAGCAUACGCAGACUAAGUCUCUGCCCUUUGUACACACCGCCCGUCGCUACUACCGAGUGAAUGGUGUCAUGAUGUCUUGGGACUGGA
rnacentral:rRNA from 1 species